GGCUGUUUGGUGAGGUUGGUAAGACACAAAACUGCGGCUUUUGGUCCGAAGUUCAAUCCUUGGAUUAAUUA